rnacentral:rRNA from 1 species
AGAGUUUGAUCCUGGCUCAGGAUGAACGCUAGCUACAGGCUUAACACAUGCAAGUCGAGGGGAAACGAUAUUGGAAGCUUGCUUCCGAUAGGCGUCGACCGGCGCACGGGUGAGUAACGCGUAUCCAACCUGCCCAUCACUUGGGAAUAACCUUGCGAAAGUAAGACUAAUGCCCAAUGACAUUUAUAGAAGGCAUCGGAAAUGAAUUAAAGAUUUAUCGGUGAUGGAUGGGGAUGCGUCUGAUUAGCUUGUUGGCGGGGUAACGGCCCACCAAGGCGACGAUCAGUAGGGGUUCUGAGAGGAAGGUCCCCCACAUUGGAACUGAGACACGGUCCAAACUCCUACGGGAGGCAGCAGUGAGGAAUAUUGGUCAAUGGGCGAGAGCCUGAACCAGCCAAGUAGCGUGCAGGAUGACGGCCCUAUGGGUUGUAAACUGCUUUUAUAGGGGAAUAAAGUGAGCCACGUGUGGUUUUUUGCAUGUACCCUAUGAAUAAGGACCGGCUAAUUCCGUGCCAGCAGCCGCGGUAAUACGGAAGGUCCGGGCGUUAUCCGGAUUUAUUGGGUUUAAAGGGAGCGUAGGCCGGAGAUUAAGCGUGUUGUGAAAUGUAGAUGCUCAACAUCUGCACUGCAGCGCGAACUGGUUUCCUUGAGUACGCAUAAAGUGGGCGGAAUUCGUGGUGUAGCGGUGAAAUGCUUAGAUAUCACGAAGAACUCCGAUUGCGAAGGCAGCUCACUGGGGCGCAACUGACGCUGAAGCUCGAAAGCGCGGGUAUCGAACAGGAUUAGAUACCCUGGUAGUCCGCGCGGUAAACGAUGGAUGCCCGCUGUUGGGCCAACUGGUUCAGCGGCCAAGCGAAAGCAUUAAGCAUCCCACCUGGGGAGUACGCCGGCAACGGUGAAACUCAAAGGAAUUGACGGGGGCCCGCACAAGCGGAGGAACAUGUGGUUUAAUUCGAUGAUACGCGAGGAACCUUACCCGGGCUUGAAUUGCAGAGGAAGGAUUUGGAGACAAUGACGCCCUUCGGGGCCUCUGUGAAGGUGCUGCAUGGUUGUCGUCAGCUCGUGCCGUGAGGUGUCGGCUUAAGU